ACCGGUACAGAGUCAAUAUGGAGGCUAUAUACAGGGGGUACCGGUACAGAGUCAAUGUGGAGGCUAUAUACAGGGUAUUAUGGUACAGAGUCAAUGUGGAGGCUAUAUACAGGGUUUUAUGGUACAGAGUCAAUGUGGAGGCUAUAUACAGGGGGUACCGGCACAGAGUCAAUGUACAGUGGGCAACUGUUAGUCGAGGUAAUUGAGGUAAUAUGCAUGGAUAAUAUAGGAAGAACCCCUUUCCUGACGCUAAUCACGUAAAAUGUACAGCAUAUUGUUCCCUUGACCUCAUUAUAACCCCCUGGUAGAAAUCUAAUUAGCACAAUAAUACUAAAUCCUCAUCUAAUUCCCCAUCUAAAUCCCCCCCUCUAAUUCCCCAUCUAAUUCCCCAUCUAAAUCUCCAUCUAAUUCCCCAUCAAAAUCUCCAUCUAAAUCCCCAUCUAAUUCUCUAUCUAAAUCCCCAUCUAAUUCCCCAUCUAAAUCCAUAUCUAUUUCCCCAUCUAAAUCCCCAUCUAAAUCCAUAUCUAAUUCCCCAUCUAAAUCCAUAUCUAAUUCCCCAUCUAAAUCCCCAUCUAAAUCUCCAUCUAAUUCCCCAUCUAAAUCUCCAUCUAAUUCCCCAUCUAGAUCUCCAUCUAAUUCCCCAUCUAAAUCUCCAUCUAAUUCCCCAUCUAAAUCCCCAUCUAAAUCUCCAUCUAAAUCCCCAUCUAAAUCCCCAUCUAAAUCCAUCGGUUUAAGCGAGAGAUAACAAUCCGCCAACUGCCGUGUUUGUCAGUCCACGAGACAUCCUGAAAAUCGGACUUCUCACGAAAACGUCGGUAUCGUCCGAACCAUUUGCCCGUGUGUCAGCCUCUCAACAUCUCAUCAUGACAAACAUACAUGUCCAUAAAUAUCAGAUUAUUUCAUAUUUACGAAGAAACACACCACAAGUUGUGCAGUCCAGACACUGUUGAGCAACAAGACAACAACCUUUUUCCAGGUAGUGCCUGUUUUUUUUCUGAGCAUCCAACAGAAAAACAAAUAUUUCUGAAAGGUCCUAUGAUACACAGAACAACUGUUAUCUAGAGUCAACAACGUUCUGCUUUUUUUAGCCAGAGGGCGGCUGGCUGAUUCCAGACUUGGAGUCAAAGGAACACGCCACGGCCCCCAGGUUGACAUAUCAAGCUUUUGUCUGGGAGAUUAAACCCGGUUUGGUUGCGCGUUUGAGUUUCCAUUGAUAGUUUAAUCUCUGUUUCAUUAUCAAACCAGACAUUGAAGGUCAAGACGACAGACGAUUUUAUUACUGUAUCUGUGAAGAGGUUAAUAUUACUGACAAAUCUGUUGUAUACUAGACAGCUUUACAGUUGAUUUCCUCAGUACUACAAACAUCUGUUGUUUACUAGACAGCUUUACAGUUGAUUUCCUCAAUACUACAAACAUCUGUUGUAUACUAGACAGAUUUACAGUUGAUUUCCUCAAUACUGCAACAAAAAGAAAUUCACCUCAGUGACUAAGGAGAUUAUUGUUACUAGGAAGUGGGACCGACACUAUACAAGACUAGUUACUAGGAACGACACUAUACAAGACUAGUUACUAGGAACUGGGACAGACACUAUACAAGACUAGUUACUAGGAACUAGGAACGACACUAUACAAGACUAGUUACUAGGAACUAGGCACAACACUAUACAAGACUAGUUACUAGGAACAACACUAUACAAGACUAGUUACUAGGAACUGGGACAGACACUAUACAAGACUAGUUACUAGAAACUGGGACAGACACUAUACAAGACUAGUUACUAGGAACUGGGACAGACACUAUACAAGACUAGUUACUAGGAACUGGGACAGACACUAUACAAGACUAGUUACUAGAAACUGGGACAGACACUAUACAAGACUAGUUACUAGGAACUGGGACAGACACUAUACAAGACUAGUUACUAGGAACUGGGACAGACACUAUACAAGACUAGUUACUAGGAACUAGGAAUGACAAUAUACAAGACUAGUUACUAGGAACUGGGAACGAAUCUAUACAAGACUAGUUACUAGGAACGACACCAUACAAGACUAGUUACUAGGAAGUGGGAACGACACUAUACAAGACUAGUUACUAGGAACUGGGAACGACACUAUACAAGACUAGUUACUAGGAACAACACUAUACAAGACUAGUUACUAGGAAGUGGGAACGACACUAUACAAGACUAGUUACUAGGAACUAGGAACGACACUAUACAAGACUAGUUACUAGGAACGACACUAUACAAGACUAGUUACUAGGAACGACACUAUACAAGACUAGUUACUAGGAACAACACUAUACAAGACUAGUUACUAGGAACAACACUAUACAAGACUAGUUACUAGGAUCUGGGAACAACACUAUACAAGACUAGUUACUAGGAACAACACUAUACAAGACUAGUUACUAGGAACAACACUAUACAAGACUAGUUACUAGGAACAACACUAUACAAGACUAGUUACUAGGAACAACACUAUACAAGACUAGUUACUAGGAAGUGGGCACACCACGUCAUUUCAAAGAGGAAAAUUGCAUAAUGUUUGGUUGAGACGUUGAUCAAUGAGAUUACAACCUAUAUUCACCUACUCAAAAAGAGUAUGGUUUCGUUAGACAACCCAAACAGAAUUCAAUAUCACUAAAUAUAAUUACAUUUGAAAUGAACCAGAGCUUGAAACCUUAGACCUAUUGUAUUGUUUAUUUUUAGUUGAAUUCUGGGUUGAAUUGAAAGAAUAGGGGCUCCUGAGUGCAGUCCCUGGUUUAAAUCCAAGCUGCCUCACAUCCGGCCGUGAUCGGGAGUCCCGUAGGGCGGCGCACAAUUGGCCCAACGUUGUCCAGGUUUGGCUGGGAUAGGCCGUCAUUGAAAAAUAAGAAUUUAUUCUUAACUGUAAAUAUGUAAAUAGCUGUUGAUGUUUUUGCAAGUGCUAUAUAGGCCUAAAUAGCAUCAUUGCUGAUGUGAGUGACAAAGUAAUGGUAACAUUUAAUUUGCUUUGUUAAACCGAUAGUAACAGUGAAUCUAUUUAGUUUUUUAAGCGGAGAUCUCUCAACUAUCAUUCUCACGGCAGCACCUUGGUAAUAGUCAGUAACAAAUAGCGUGAUAUUUGGUUACCACGGUGACGUAAUCCUGUGGGUGAAAUUUUACCCUGAAAAACAACAAUUGUUUGACUUUUUUCAAAUCCAAUGUAUUUUCCACAUAGAUUCCAC
ensembl:lncRNA